UUACAAGGAAUUGAAACUAAUUUGCAGUAACUCCAAAGUUUUGAGUCUCUCCCUAGCCUAAGCAGCAAUACUUGUGUCUGACAAUUGAAAGUACUCCCAAAGCAAUGUCUGGGGUUAGAGAAUGGAGGGAAGGCAGCAGGUACAGGACAGCUGCUGGCUCUAGUACUCCAUUUUCCUCUCAGGGUUACCCCUUGGAUGGCAACAACAAAACAGAGAAGGGUAAAAACACCCAGAAGCUGGCAACAUCUGGAGAGGAACAAAGCAGCCAAGAGCCAGUCUACCAACAACAGCAAGAGCAGCAUGUCAGCCCAUAUGUCUUGGUAACUCCAAAUGAAAUCAGAAGAAAACAGUUGCAGCAAAUUGCUAAGAAAGAGCUAGAUGACCUGGAGCGGUGGAAGGAAGAGCACAGGCCAGGGCCAAUUACAUUGGUUCCACAGAGAUUGGGUGGAAAGGAAUCAGAGGCUCAAGCAAGGCAAAACCAACAAAUGAUGCUCAUGCAAUCUAAAUACCAGCAAAAGCACAAGAGAGAAGAAUAUGUAAAAGCAAAAAAGGCAGCUGAAGAAGCUGAAAUCCUGAAAAAGAAAGCAAUUCAGAGAGAAAAGGCAGAGAGACUUGAAGUUAAAAAAAGACAACAAGAAAUGCAAAGAAGAGAGAUGUUCCUUGAAGAUCAAAAUUACAAAACCAAUGAAUUAUUGAACAGAUUGCACCUGGGUUUGCCAAAGAGUGAUUCCUGUCAGAUUGCUAAUCCUGGCCCAGAAUCUACAGCAUGGACAAGAAGCCAUGCUUACAAGCAAGCUCUUCGAGAGGAUGCUAACAGAAGAUUAGAGGAAAUGAAGCAAGAACAACGAAGGAAGGCUGAAUUAAUGGAAUGUAAACAAAAGCAGGUAGAGGAAGCCAGGACAAGAGCACAUCAAAAUGAACAAAGAAGGGUAAAUAAUGCUUUCUUGGACCGACUCCAGAAGAAAACACAACCUAAUAACAGCUACCAAACUGGAUAUACUGGACUACCUCAUUAAUGACACAAGGAUACUCAAGGGACAUGCUCUAUUUUCGUAAAAUGGAGGAAUUUCCAGCUCCUUGUACAUUAGAAGUCUUGAGCUGCAUGACCUUCUUUUCUUUGGGACAAAACUAAACCAAACAAUAUUCCUCAAGAGUCUACUUAUUGAACAUUUUCUGCUGAUGGACACGCAAGACCAGACUAGAGCCAGACUCAAGUAAACCCUUUAAAAGUGAACCCACGAGAGCUGGAUCCUCAGCCCUGACUCCUUCAGUCUACAAGCUUGCUACCAUUGCACAGCCAUGCUUGGGGUACCCCCACAGGGUACAUAAGUACCUCACAACCUUCAGAACCUGUCUUGAAGAAGAGUGCUUUACUGGUUGUACUGUUGUUAUACUGUAUACCACAUGUGUACCCUGAUUACUUUUGUACCAUAUGCAUCAUUGAUUACUCUUGCCUUAGUGUAAUAUCUUGCAUUUAUGCACUUUGAAUGCUAUUUGACACUUCAUUUCUCAAGCUCUCCUUAAAUUCUAGCUCUGUCCUCCAAUGCAUUUGCUGUCCUUCUUGUCUUCAAGCCAUCUGCAAAUUUAAUAUUUGAUAUUUUCUUUUCCAUCAUCCAGGUGAAUAAUUAAAAUGUCAAGUAGAGUGAGAUCCAAGACAUAUCCCUCUGGCAUGCCACUCAGUAAAGUAAAUCAUUCCAACGGAACAGUGAACCAGAGAAAAUAUUCUUAGCAUAUAAUUAUCUGGUCAAUUUUAUCCCACACUACAGAAGAUCCACCAAGGCUAUAUAUGUGGAAAUCUUUUAAUGAGAAUGUUAUAUAAGACAGUGUUCAGAUUAAAAUAUGUGAAAUUAACUGCUUCAGCUCUAGCUGUAGAAUCUCGUUAUGGACAGAAAUUAAAUUAGUUUAAUGCAAGAUGUUUGUGAUGAAUUCCAGUGGACUAUUAUUUAUCUCCUUGCUAUCCUUCAGGGACUUAUAUAUAGUGUAGUCAAUUAUUUAUUCUAGAUUUUUUUUCUAGAAAUUGAUGUUGACUAAUCUUUUCCCCAUUUAAGAAUAAUUACUAUGAUUGUCUUUUUUCCUGUCUUCUGGUACCUUAUUUGACCUUUAUGAUUCUGAAAGGAUUCAUUUUGUACUACCAAAUAAAACAGACCGAGGAACACAGUCUGCCCCUGAGGCCAAGUGGCACAGCACAAUUCAUUUUCACAUGGUAAAACUUUCCCCUCACUCAUCAGAAAGGAGUGUGGAUGUUCAAGCUGUCCCUCACCCAGUUUAUUCCCUAUCAGUGUCCAGAAACUGUCUGGGAAAAUAGUAGAACAAAAAGACAAAAUACGUCAGAGAAUUUUUAGCAAUAAUCAGUUGAGGUGGUCUUAGGACAGCAUGUUAGCCUAUAACCUGCCUCUGUUCUAUUUAUGACUAUAGGUAUAGCCAGAAAAUAACUACUAUACCAUUUGAGAUGGCCUAAACCAGUUUACUGUGAUGAUGAUGACAAUGCUCCUCAGCUCAGUGUUUAUGAUGCAAGAUCUUUUUAUCCCCCUAAGAGCUGCAAUAACAGCAUGAGGAAUGGGAGAUGUUUUUUUCAAAACUGCAGGGAUAUAAAUACGGCCUGUAUGUGCCAAUUUAGUUUAGGAAUCUAACUUACUCUUUGCUCUACACCCACCCAAUAAUGAAUGCUUCCUUUCUAUUCAUUAUAUCUACUUUCUUUCCUUGAGUUUCUUACUUGCCCUCAUUUUCAAAUGACCUUGUUAUUGUAAUUCUGUAAUAUUAUCUGCUACCCAUUUCAACCCAGGUCUUCUUUUUAGUUAUCAUAUUGUUACAUUAUGCAAGAAUCAUAAUUUGGUUCUGUCUUAGAGACAGAACCCCCAGCUGCUACAUAAUGCAUGUACAGAUUCAAUGCAUUUCUAAUGCUGAGAUUUUUUCUUCUUUCCCAUUGUUCAUAUAAUCAGAAAUAUUCUAUGGAAAAACUA